rnacentral:rRNA from 1 species
UACAGAGGUCCCAAGCGUUGUUCGGAUUCACUGGGCGUAAAGGGUGCGUAGGUGGUGGGGUAAGUCGGAUGUGAAAUCUCCGGGCUCAACCCGGAAAUGGCAUUGGAAACUACCUUGCUGGAGGAUUUGAGGGGGGAUUGGAAUACUUGGUGUAGCAGUGAAAUGCGUAGAUAUCAAGUGGAACACCAGUGGCGAAGGCGAAUCCCUGGAAAAUACCUGACACUGAGGCACGAAAGCUAGGGGAGCAAACAGG